rnacentral:rRNA from 1 species
UUAGUUGGUGGAGUGAUUUGUCUGGUUAAUUCCGUUAACGAACGAGACCUUAACCUGCUAACUAGACGCUCAAACUAUUACUGUAUGAGUGUGCUUCUUAGAGGGACUUCGGCGUGUCGAAUGCGAGGAAGUUUGAGGCAAUAACAGG